AGUGAACGCUGGCGGUAGGCCUAACACAUGCAAGUCGAACGGCAGCACAGUAAGAGCUUGCUCUUACGGGUGGCGAGUGGCGGACGGGUGAGGAAUACAUCGGAAUCUACUUUUUCGUGGGGGAUAACGUAGGGAAACUUACGCUAAUACCGCAUACGACCUACGGGUGAAAGCAGGGGAUCUUCGGACCUUGCGCGAUUGAAUGAGCCGAUGUCGGAUUAGCUAGUUGGCGGGGUAAAGGCCCACCAAGGCGACGAUCCGUAGCUGGUCUGAAAGGAUGAUCAGCCACACUGGAACUGAGACACGGUCCAGACUCCUACGGGAGGCAGCAGUGGGGAAUAUUGGACAAUGGGCGCAAGCCUGAUCCAGCCAUACCGCGUGGGUGAAGAAGGCCUUCGGGUUGUAAAGCCCUUUUGCUGGGAAAGAAAAGCAGCAGGUUAAUACCCCGCUGUUCUGACGGUACCCAAAGAAUAAGCACCGGCUAACUUCGUG
rnacentral:rRNA from 1 species